rnacentral:rRNA from 1 species
AGGUGUAUGGUCAAAGAUUUAUCGGCACGGGAGCUGGCUGUCUGCCAUCAAGUAUGUUGGUGAGGUAACGCGUCACCAAGGCAGCGACGGGUAGCGGGACUGAGAGGUUGAUCGCGCAACAUCGGGACUGAGACACUGCCCGGACCUCCACGGAGGGCUGCAGUAACGAAUAUUGCGCAAUGGGCGAAAGCCUGACGCAGCGACGCCGCGGUGUAGGAUGAAGUCCCUCGUGAUGUAAACUACUGUCAUGGGUUAGAAAGUCCGGUUCGCCGGAUUGAUCGGACCCAGAGGAAGUCACGGCUAACUUCGUGCCAGCAGUCGCGGGAAUACGAACGUGGCUAGCGUUGUUCGGUGUCACUGGGCUUAAAGCGUGUGUAGGCGGACAAGAAAACGUUUUGCGAAAACCCCCGGGUUAACCGGGGAACUGCAAGACGAACUGCUUUUCUUGAGGCAAGCAGGGUUGCGUGGAACUCUUGGUGGAGCGGUGGAAUGCGUACAUAUCAAGAGUGAACGCCGUGUGGUGAAGACGACGCACUGGGCUUGUCCUGACGCUCAGACACGAAAGCGUGGGGAGCGAACGGGAUUAGAUACCCCGGUAGUCCACGCCGUAAACGAUUGUCUACUAGGUUGUGGGAGUCCUGACACUUUCACGGUCCGAAGCAAAAGUGCUAAGUAGACCG